AGCGAAUGGAUUAAGAGCUUGCUCUUAUGAAGUUAGCGGCGGACGGGUGAGUAACACGUGGGUAACCUGCCCAUAAGACUGGGAUAACUCCGGGAAACCGGGGCUAAUACCGGAUAACAUUUUGAACUGCAUGGUUCGAAAUUGAAAGGCGGCUUCGGCUGUCACUUAUGGAUGGACCCGCGUCGCAUUAGCUAGUUGGUGAGGUAACGGCUCACCAAGGCAACGAUGCGUAGCCGACCUGAGAGGGUGAUCGGCCACACUGGGACUGAGACACGGCCCAGACUCCUACGGGAGGCAGCAGUAGGGAAUCUUCCGCAAUGGACGAAAGUCUGACGGAGCAACGCCGCGUGAGUGAUGAAGGCUUUCGGGUCGUAAAACUCUGUUGUUAGGGAAGAACAAGUGCUAGUUGAAUAAGCUGGCACCUUGACGGUACCUAACCAGAAAGCCACGGCUAACUACGUGCCAGCAGCCGCGGUAAUACGUAGGUGGCAAGCGUUAUCCGGAAUUAUUGGGCGUAAAGCGCGCGCAGGUGGUUUCUUAAGUCUGAUGUGAAAGCCCACGGCUCAACCGUGGAGGGUCAUUGGAAACUGGGAGACUUGAGUGCAGAAGAGGAAAGUGGAAUUCCAUGUGUAGCGGUGAAAUGCGUAGAGAUAUGGAGGAACACCAGUGGCGAAGGCGACUUUCUGGUCUGUAACUGACACU
rnacentral:rRNA from 1 species